rnacentral:rRNA from 1 species
GCCAGCAGCAAUAUCACCCUGCAACUCACAACUGGCAACCCACUGAAGCUAAGCAGGUAUGAGCCUGGUCAGUACCUGGAUGGGAGACCUCCUGCGAAAAACUAAGGUUGCUGGCC